AUGCGAAUAUUCUCGCUGUUCUGGUUUGUACAGUAAUCAGAGCAGGCUAGACAUUCGCUAUAUUACCACUUUGCACUGUGUCCUCAGGACUGGUUGGUCUCCCUAGUCCUGAUUUUUACCUGCAAAUUACAUUA
ensembl:snoRNA SNORA72 Small nucleolar RNA SNORA72